GUGGGCGUCCACACACACCAUGCCCCCGCCUCCGUGACUGUCGCGCUCCCUGCCCCUACGCAGGUCCGUGACCGCCGCGCUCCCACCCCCAAUGCGCACGCUACCCCCACCCACCUCCCAUUCCGCUGCCAGGAUCAUGCAGCUCUGCGCCGCCACGCCCAAGCGGACCUCGUGGCACAUGCCCACACCGUACUGGGGCGCUGGUGCCGCCGCGUUCCCGCAGACGCCCGAGCGGAGCCCGAGGUUCACGGGCGACGCCCGACUGGGGCACUGCGUUCAUGAUGUCGCCGAGCGCUACGGCUGCGCCGAGGACGCCGGAGAGGUGGCCCGCGCUGUCCGCACUCUGGAGUACGCGCCUGCGCCGAGGCGAGAGCAGGCGAGGUGGGGCGGCGAAUCUGAGGCAGAAGCGCCUGCGCUUUAUGAAUCCGGAGCCGAAUCGCUCCGUCCAGCUUGCCUCCUCACCGUUGCUUUUGCGCUCUGCUUUUCACUUGCCUUGCGUGGAUCUGCUCAACGCGCGAACCACCGCCUCGCCGAGAAGGAGAUCGUCAUCGUCCUCUCCUCUGCCUCCGUGGUCCCCGUCGAGAGCAGUGUUGCUGUCUUCGACUAGCUCACCACCCUCUUCUCUCGCCUCCAAUACCUCAAGCACAAGAUGGAGGAGGGAGGACGGACAGAGGAAUUGCCGGUGCAAUGGUGUGAAUUUCCAAAUGCAGCAGAUAUUGCAUUUAUUUUAAGAAAUUGUAACUCCACGCUACAGACAUGAUGAACAUUUAAGAAAGAAAACAUCAUUUCUCAUAAUAAAAAAUAUCCUAAAUAGGUGUAGUUGGCAUAUCUUUAGUAGCAAGGUUUGUUUAGUAUGUUUGCUUGUCGUGAGUCUAACUGGGUAGCUUGCUAGGUGAUCCAUUUUGAAUUGCAUCCUUUGCGUUCUUGUCAGUCGCUCCUUUCUAUUAGUCUACUACAACACGAGUGUGCUAUUGACAAUGACCCAUUCUAAAAAGAACUUGUGGAGCUAUGCGCUUGCUUUUGGACUUAGCAGACCCGGUUGCUCCACUGUUAUUUUGGGGAGGUUAGAUUUUUUUCAUUUACCAAGCUACAGAUUUUAAGAGGUUUUGAAACGUCAAUAUGCAUGAUCCAUCUAAAUAGAUUUUCUUUUUCGUACAAGGAAACACUUGAGGAAAUCUGAAUGGUGAAAUAUAUAGACACUUAGUCUGAGAUUCUUCAAUGUUUGAUUUUUUUAAAAUUUUCAAUUAUACUAAAUGAUGAUGCAAGGUUGGCAUUUUGGCUCAACUUAUACAACGCGCACGUACGUGAUUUUGAAAACUUUAGUUCUUAUUAUGGUAGCUGAAUGUGUGGGAAUAUUUCUCUUUUUUCCCUGAUGUGUAGGAGAGCACAUUUUGAACAUUUCUUCAUCCAUUUACAAGCUUACCUACCUUAUGGUAUUCCACGGCUGAUGCAAAAGGUUGUAUACACCGUUGGGGGCCACUUAUUCAGCGCUGUAUUUAUUGAAUACGUAAUUCUGAAGAUGAAAUCACCAAGUCAUAGGCCACAAAUGGUAUACCACUUACUUAAAACCUUGCUAGACAUUUAGCUGACAGUGCUGCUUAUUUCAGUUUCCUUCGGUUAAUCGAGGCAAACUAUUCCAAGGUAUUUCUGUCUUUGGUUCAAGGCUCUGCUUCUCACCCUCCAGAAGAUCAAGGUACCUGCGGAGCAGAAAAAUCUUGCAUUACGACACCUAAGCCACUUUUGAUGUUUGCCCUCAGUUGUGGAAUGUAUUCUUCUCCCGGGAUAAGUUGUCAAAGCAUUCCACUGGCUUAUAUUUAAGUUUGGUCUUGCUAACCUUA